CGAAAUGCUGUUGGAAAAGUGCAUGUUGAUGUUAAUCUGCUGAAACUAUUAUAACUUGCUGUUUUAUCAUUUUUGCCAUGAUUUAUGUAUGCAUCCUAUGAGUAUGAGCUCUACAUGAAUGUUGGACUAUGCCAUGCCAUCUUUCCAGAGGUGUUGACCUUGUAUUUUUGUGAUUUGUGUGCUGAGUGCAUUGAGCUUGUAAAGUAGGGUAGUUGCUGUUGCUGUUUUCCUGACAGAUUCUGUUAUAUUUUGUUGCUAUGUUAACAUGCUUCCACUAAUCAUUAUAUGCAUAAUAUGGAGAUGCUCUAUAAACAUGUUUUGAUAUACAUGUCUUGCUCUAUCCAUUCAUGCCCUUGGUUGCAAUUAUGGCCUGCUGGAACAUGUACAUUUCUUGCUCCAAAGUUGCUUGAAAAUGUUGUUUGUCAGCCUGUUAACAUUAAGUUCACUUGUUCCCAUGUGUUUUCCUAGUGAUCCAUGUAUCCUAUGAACUUGCUCUUGCCAUGCUUAGCUUCACAAAAAUGCCUUAUUACUGUUGGUUGCCUUGCCAUGCCAUGUAUUGCUCUGUGGUGAGUGGUUAAAGCUCACGAACAUGCCUACUUAUUGUUGUUUCUGCCAUGUUUAAAUAUGUAAUAUAACUUGCCAUGUUUACAUGGGUGCCAUCAUAUUUUCCGUGCCUUUUUGGCUCAUGGUCAGUAAGGGUCUUUUGAUAUAUGCUAUUAGUAGAUUCAUGCCAUGCCUUUGUUUGCCAUGAUAUGUUCCUGUAACAUGUUGUUUGAUAGCUCUAAACAUUGCAACCUGAUGUUAUUUCUGCAAAGUCUGAAACUGUUAUUAUUUGCAAUAUCUCCAUGUCCUUUUUGAGCAUGUUCUAGUUGUUUCUGGAGAUAGCUCAGUGUUCAUGUUUUGUUAUGCUUUACGUGUACUUCAUGCCCUUGCCUUUUGUUAUUAUGUUGGGGUGCUGUAGCAUGUUGUUUUGAUGCUUGUAAGAUGCCUAGUUGCUGUUUUGGACAGAUUGUUGUUAUGACUUGUAUAGUGUGCACGUGUUGAACCGUUGCUCCGUUUUGAGUGUGCUCUAUAUGAAACUUGCUUGUUUUUGCAUGUAGCUUCAUAUUACCAUGUUGCAUCCUUGUUUUGGUGUGUUUGCUUGAUGUUUGGGUGCUUUUUGCAUCAAUGCCAUGCUUAACUUGUUUUGCUCAUAUCUUUUAGACCGUAGCUCCAAAUCUAAUGAACUUUAUAUGUAACUUGACUAGAAUUUCGUGUAGAUUCUCUUGGUGCUCUUUAACUUGCUGUUUAACAACUUGAACAUAAGGUUUAUUCAGUUCUGGACCAAUUUCGAAAUAUGCAUAUGAGGACUUACCGGAAUUGUCAUAUGUUGUUCCCGGCCUCAUUUAAACUUGCCUUGAUGUGUUCUUGUAUGCAUCAUCUCUUGCCAUGAGUAGCUUCAUGUAGCUUUGUCAUGCAUAAUGCUUGUUGUGCAUCAUGCCUUGUUCAUGCGUGGUGUGUUUACCUACGUUGUGUGCUUCUUCUUGUUAGUUCCUGUUUCGUUGCGAUCGUGAGGAUUAGUUCGUCUACGGUUGGUUCGGCUCCAUCCAUUCAUCUUCUUCAUGGACUCGUUCUUCUUCCUUGCGGGAUUUCAGGCAAGAUGACCGCUACCCUGGAUCUCACUACUAUCAUUGCUAUGCUAGUUGCUUCGUUCUAUCGCUAUGCUGCGCUACCUAUUACCUGUUUGUCCAGCCAUCCCAUAUUGCCAUGAACCCCUAACCUUUGACACCUUUCCUAUGCAAACCGUUGUUUGGCUAUGUUACCGCUUUUGCUCAGCCCCUCUUAUAGCGUUGCUAGCUGCAGGUGAAGUUGAAGAUUUUCUCCAUGGUGGACAGGAUUUUGGUUGGGAUAUCACAAUAUCUCUUAUAUUAUUAAUGCAUCUAUAUACUUGAUAAAGGGUGGAAGGCUCGGCCUUAUGCCUGGUGUUUUGUUCCACUCUUGCCGCCCUAGUUUCCGUCAUACCGGUGUUAUGUUCCCGGAUUUUGCGUCCCUUACGCGGUCGGGUGAUUUAUGGGACCCCCUUGACAGUUCGCUUUGAAUAAAACUUGUCCAGCAAGGCCCAACAUUGACUUUUACCAUUUGCCUCACCACCACCUACCUUUUCCCUUGGGAGUCGCUCUCUCGAGGGUCAUCUUUAUUUUAGCCCCCCCGGGCCAGUGCUUGUCUAAGUGUUGGUCCGAACCGGGCAGGGGGCAACUCGAGGGCUGGUUUUACUCGUAGGCUGACCUAUCCGGUGUUGCCCUGAGAACGAGAUAUGUGCAGCUCCUAUCGGGAUUGUCGGCGCAUCGGGCGGCUUUGCUGGUCUUGUUUUAACAUUGUCGAAAUGUCUUGAUGUACCGGGAUACCGAGUCUGAUCGGAGUGGCUCGGGUGAAGGUCUAUUCCUUCGAUGAUCGCGAGAGCUUGUCAUGGGCUAAGUUGGGACACCCCUGCAGGGUUUAAACUUUCGAGAGCCGUGCCCGCGGUUAUGUGGCAGAUGGGAAUUUGUUAAUGUCCGGUUGUAGAUAACUUGACACUUGAUCCGAAACUAAAACGCAUCAACCGCAUGUGUAGCCGUGAUGGUCUCUUCUCGGCGGAGUCCGGGAAGUGAACACGGUUUCUGUGUUAUGUCUGACGUAAGUAGGUGUUCAGGAUCACCUCUUGAUCAUUGCUAGCUUCACGACCAUUCCGCUUGUUUCUCUUCUCGCUCUUAUUUGCGUUGGUUAGCCACCAUACAUUGCUUAGUCGCUGCUGCAACCUCACCACCUUACCCCUUCCUUUCCCAUUAAGCUUUGCUAGUCUUGAUACCCAUGGUAAUGGGAUUGCUGAGUCCUCGUGGCUCACCAGAUACUUCCAAAACCAGUUUGCAGGUGCCUAUGUUACCGGGCAGGUGACGCAACCAAGCUCAAGGAGGAGCUCGAUGAAGAUCUUGCCCUUUGUGUUGUAUCGUUCUAGUUGUUCAGUAGUGGAGCCCAGUUGGGGUCGAUCGGGGACCUUUGUCGCUUUUGGGGUUCUUCUUUUAUUUUGGUUCCGUAGUCGGACCUUGAUCGUAUCUGGAUGAUGUAAUGCUUUAUUCAUGUAAUUGUGUGAAGUGGCGAUUGUAAGCCAACUAUGUAUCUCUUUCCCUUAAGUAUUACUUGGGUUGUGUGAUGAUUACCUCACUUGCGACUUUGCUUUCAAUGCGGUUAUGCCUCUAAGUCGUGCUUCGACACGUGGGAGAUAUAGCCGCAUCGAGGGCGUUACAAGUUGGUAAUUAGAGCCUUCCCCGACCUUAGGAGCCCCACUGCUUGAUCGUUUUUAGCGGCCGAGUUGUGUCUAGAAAAAUGUUUUGAGUCAUUUAGGAUUUUAUAUAUCGGAGAGUUAGGAAUUCUUUUUACUCCUCAGUCCCUUCAUCGCUCUGGUGAGGUCUCCUGACGUAGAGUUUUGACUCUUCUCUUCUCAAAUUUCACUAAUUUUUUUUAGGAUCACGCGGGUAUCUUAGAAUCGUUCCGAUGGUUUUAUGAUGACAACAUUGUCUUGGUGCCUCCCGUCAGCAGGGGUUUUUUUUAGUGGAGGUGUCCCGGGGAGUUGAGCUCUGAGGUGUUGUCGUCAUAAUUUUAUCGUUGCAGUUCUGGAAUACCUGAGUUUAGUACGCCGACAUCGAAAAUCUCUUUUAUGCAGUUGUUGGUGAGAUAACCCCGAUAACCCAGUACUGAGGUGAGUACGGGAGUAUUGCCAUGACUCGUAUAACGGAUUCUUUUCGAAGGUUGAGGUACACGAUUUCCGAAGGUUUCUUGGUUAUGUGUUGACGGAUGGAUACAGCUGGAUGUAGGUAUUGUUAGUUUGGGUGAGAUAUAUUGCUUCCCCUGUAUCCCCAACACCAGAUUGCAUAACCAGAAAGUUUCGGGAGUUUUAUAGGUGGGAAUUCAAGUAGCUCCUAGAAUAUCUUUUCGACAGAUGCAUGAUAUGGGAUUGGGUAAAUCUCUAUCAUAUGUUUGUUCCGGCUUAUUCUGCAAGCCAGUCCUUUGUUUUUGUUUUGAGUUGUGGUAUUCGAGUUGCUUCGAAGUCAAAUGUUGAAUCCAUACCUUUCCUAGCGGUGUUCUCAUAUUUCUAUGGGAGUACUAAUCCUUUUGAUCAUCGAGAUUGUCAUGUUAAUUCUUUUCCAACCGGUGUGCUUCUCUUCAAGUGGAUCCGAUCAUUCUCCCCAUCCGCAAGAUCAAUUCUAAGUUUUCUCAACGGUGUUUGUUUCAUCCGUCCCAAGUUGCCUUUGUUUUUCCCGCCCUCCCACCCUCUUUCUUCAAGGACACAGAUUUCUUAAUCAAGUAUCCAUUUAUUCAUGUGAAGUCUCUUCAUUCUUUUCAAUCAAUGUUCUUAUCCG
rnacentral:lncRNA from 1 species